rnacentral:lncRNA from 1 species
UUUUAUUUGACCUUGACCUCAUGUUCAUGUUUUAUUGCUUAGUGUUAAGUAUUUGUGUUUUGGUCUGUUUUUCUUAAUUUAUAAGCAAUAGGUCCGCUAUAUUUGUUGUAUGGAAGAAUUGUUAGCUGUACAUGUCUGCCUGGCAUGGUUCAUCUGACUUUGACCUCGUUUUCAUGGUUCAUUGAUCAAUGUUUAGUUUUCUUGGUUAAUGUUGAGUUUAUGUGACAGUUGUAAUAAAGCUUUAUAUUUAGGACUAUCAAUAUAAUAUCAAUGAUUAGGAAAGAAGGCGAGACAUUUCUGCAUGUGCACUCUUGUUACCUAUUAUUCUGUUUGUUUUGUUCACACAUUGUUGUCAAUAUAAUGGAGUUUGAUGCGACUGUCAUACAAAAGAGAAGUUUAACCAGCUUUAAAAUCAGGUUUAAUCCACCAUUUUCCGUUUUGAAUUUUCCUCGGAGUUCAAUAUUUUUGUGAUUUUAGUUUUUAGGAAUGCCC